rnacentral:rRNA from 1 species
AAUGAACGUUGGCGGCGUGGAUUAGGCAUGCAAGUCGCGCGAGAAAUUUCCUUCGGGAAAUGGACAGCGGCGGAAGGGAGAGGAAUAAGUAGAAAUCUGCCCUCGGGACGGGGAUAGCGGUGGGAAACUGCCGGUAAUACCCGAUAACAUCUUUGGAUCAAAUGGUGUGAUUCCGCCUGAGGAUGAGUCUACUUCCUAUUAGCUAGUUGGUGGGGUAAUGGCCUACCAAGGCAACGAUGGGUAGCGGGUGUGAGAGCGCGACCCGCCUCACUGGGACUGAGACACUGCCCAGACACCUACGGGUGGCUGCAGUCGAGAAUCUUCGGCAAUGGGGGAAACCCUGACCGAGCGACGCCGCGUGCGGGAUGAAGGCCCUUGGGUUGUAAACCGCUGUCGUAAGGGAACAAAUCUAUAGGGGUACUCCCCUAUGGUUGAGUGAUCUUAGGAGGAAGGACGGGCUAAGUUCGUG